ACUCGAUAAUCCACGUAUACCCAACCCCCUCUAGAUACUCAGCAUGUAUACUGCCGUUGUAAGCAUACCUCUAAAAGACCAGUAUGCCCCCAUGAUUAUUAACUCAUAUACAUCAGGUCAAAGUGCAGCUAAUAAGGGGGUGAUGAUGGGUUACAACCCCCAAACAGAUUAUCAACUAAGAAAUAAAAAAUCUUACGAAAGUGGACUUGGCCGUAAUCAAUUUAAAGAUAAAGAAAUGAAUAGUAUCUAAGACAUGUACACAUCGCCCGUCACUCUAUCCUAAAGGUUAGACAAGUCGUAACAAAGUAGGUGUAAUGGAAAUUGUACCUGUCGGGGUAUAGCAUAUAUAAUGCUUUUUACUUACACUAAAAAUAAAGUUAAAGACUUGCCUCGCCCACACAAUAAUAUCUUACAACUAAAUUAUAAUUAAAACAAUUAAAUAACUAACAUAUAAAGUACAGAAAUGGAAAAAAUAAUAAAUUAAAGUAAAUUUUAACAAAUGUACCUUGUGCAUUAUGGUUUUACAAGAAAAUAAUUAAAUACACUAAUCCCGAAUUCUGAGUGAGAUGUUAAACUGCUGUUGAGCACCCACUAAUAACUGUGGAAAAAGUUUUAAGAGACAGUUUAACAGAGGCUACAUACCAUCCGCGUAAGAAUAUAGCUGGUUUUUAACUAACAUUAUACAUUAAAACAUAUAGUCACACUAUAGUGUAAUAUUAUUGAGGAUAAGCCCAAUAAUCCAUGCAAUAUAAAAUUAUUCUAUUACAUCUUAUAGGCCUAAAAUCAGCCAACUAAAUUACUUUAUCGUAAUAAAGAUAGAUAUAAUAUAUAAUAUAUAAUGCUAAAAAAGUUAAAAUGGCAAAACAACUUAAAUAUCUGUCUCUAUUAUGUAAAAAUGAGUAUUAUAAAUAACAAAAUAAAAAUCUAGUAAUAACAGAACAUAAAUUAAUAAUAAUUAAUUAAGGAACUCGGCAAACUAUUAUUUCGACUGUUUAACAAAAACAUUGUCUUAUGAAUAAAAUAUUAGAUAAUACCUGCCCAGUG
rnacentral:rRNA from 1 species